GUUUAUAUAGUUUAUUAAAACAUUUUAUUUUCGUUAAAAAGAAAACUUAUUGAGUUUAUAAAUU
rnacentral:tRNA from 1 species